AAGUCGUAACAAGGUUUCCGUAGGUGAACCUGCGGAAGGAUCAUUAAUACGUAUCCAAACGUUAAAACCCCCACCGUGAACCUUCAUCCUGCUCUUGUAACCCGCGUAGUUCGCAAUGUUUCCCCAAGCAGUCAGUGUCGGAAAGUGUCAUUGAUUGUGCGAGGAUAGCGCUUCUACGAUUCCUGUAGACCGUACACUCGGGCAGGAGCUUUGCCAAAGGGUCCCCAUGCCCCCUAAUAACCCCACAGUUUAAUGUGAAGCUCAAUGUAAUACAUUGGGUAAAAAAUCUUGGUUCUCU
rnacentral:misc_RNA from 1 species